UUUAAACCAAUCAAUGACAGGACAGCUGUUCUUUGUUUCCAUGAGCUCAGCAGAAGAGGAAAUGGUUUGCCUGUGCGGUGGGGGAGGAGGAGAGGGUAGGGUUUUAGGUUAGUGCCCUGGCUGUGAGGAAGUGGAACUUGUUACCCAAGGACUUCCCUUUUAGGCAGAAUGUCUGCUUUCCUACCAGGAAGAGUGGGCUUGGCCCUCUGCUGAGGCUCUCAGAGGUUCUCCCAGCCUUGGGAUCGCUGAGUAAAACCAGUCAGCACCAUGUCACCCUAUGGAGACUGGCCUCCAUCCCUGGGAUUUGCUGGUAGAAGAAAGGGAAUCAGCGCUGACUGAGCUCCUACUAUGUGCCCUUCCUGGGCCUGGCACUGGAAUCACAGGAUGAAUGAAUAAGGCAUAUUUCCUGCCCUGAGGAGGCGUCUAUAGGGGAAGUCGGAAUUAAGGCACCUCCAGAAUUCUGAGGUCAAGGGAAUGUCAACAGAGCUGUGAACAAAAUGCCCAAAGCCAUGAAAAUCUAGAGAGAGAGACUUGAAGGGGAGGAAUGGGGUAGGAGCUGGUGCCGAGGAUGAGAGGGGAGAAUUCACCUGGUGGAGAACUGACAGGUGGGGGCUGUUUUCAAAGUAUUUUCACAAACGUUUAUUCUCCUGACUCUCACAAUAAAUGAAGCCAGCCAGAAAGUAUUCUCCCCAUUUCAGUGAUAAGGAAAUGGAGGCUCAGAAGGGUGGAAUGGCCCAGGGCAGGGCAAAGCUGGGGUGGAAGCAUCGGUCUUGUGCUUCCACACUCAUUGCACUUUCUUCCAGGCCAGGCUGAGGUCAGGAUGGUGGAGGAGGUGGUGGAGGUGAUGAGGUACCAGAGCAACCUCGAAGAAAGCUGAGAGGCAGGAGACCGCCAAAGGCAAACUUGGAACACCUGGUGACUCCGACUAACUCCAUGUGAUGUCCUUGAGGACUUUUAUGAUACUGCUACCACUGCUAAUAGUAAUAAAAGUCACUAUUUAAUGUGUUUACUAUGAGCUGGGUGUGCAAAUAUUGUGGAAAGAGUGAACAUAUGUGCAGAAUGCUUAAUAAACGUGAUUUCCUUUUAUCUUCAAAAGAACAA